GCGAGAUGACGCGCGAUCAAUACAACUUUCAACAACGGAUCUCUUGGCUCUCGCAUCGGUGGAGAACGCGGCGAAAUGCGAUACGUAAUAUGAAUUGCAGAAUUCAGUGAAUCAUCGAAUCUUUGAACGCACCUUGCGCCCCUUGGCAUUCCGAGGGGCACACCCGUUUGAGUGUCGUGAACAUCCUCAACCCGCUUGGUUUUUAUCAAACCAAGUAGGCUUGGAAUUUGGAGGUUUUCUGCUGGCCUCCUCCGAAGCCAGCUCCUCUUAAAUGUAUCAGUGGGAUCCGCUUUGCUUAGAUCCUCGACGUUGAUAAGAUGUUUCUACGUCUUGGGUUUUGCUCGGGAAAGGACCUGCUUCUAACCGUCCCAUCCGGGGACAACGUUCGAGCCGAUCGCCCUUCACGGGGUGGGAAGCUUUCGACCCAUGAAACCU
rnacentral:rRNA from 1 species